rnacentral:rRNA from 1 species
AUUGAACGCUGGCGGCGUGCCUAACACAUGCAAGUCGAGCGGUAACAGGUGUAGCAAUACAUGCUGACGAGCGGCGGACGGGUGAGUAACGCUUGGGAAUCUGCCUGUUAGUGGGGGACGAACCCGGGAAACGUACGGGCGUAAUACCGCAUACGCACUACGGUGGAAAGACCGGGGACCGGCAAGGCCUGGCGCUAACAGAUGAGCCCAACGUCGGAUUAGCUAGUUGGUAGGGUAACGGCCACCAAGGCGACGAUCCGUAACUGGUCUGAGAGGACGACCAGUCACACCGGAA